CAGCCGCCGCGGGAAUACGAAGGGUGCAAGCGUUAAUCGGAAUUACUGGGCGUAAAGCGUGCGUAGGCGGUUUGUUAAGUCUGCUGUGAAAUCCCCGGGCUCAACCUGGGAAUGGCAAUGGAUACUGGCAAGCUAGAGUGUGUCAGAGGAUGGUGGAAUUCCCGGUGUAGCGGUGAAAUGCGUAGAGAUCGGGAGGAACAUCAGUGGCGAAGGCGGCCAUCUGGGACAACACUGACGCUGAGGCACGAAAGCGUGGGGAGCAAACAGGAUUAGAUACCCCCGUAGUCCCUGUCUCUUAUAC
rnacentral:rRNA from 1 species